GCUAAUACCGGAUAACAACAGAUGAUGCCUAUCAACNGUUUAAAAGAAUGGUUCUGCUAUCACUCUUGGAUGGACCUGCGGUGCAUUAGCUAGUUGGUAGGGUAAACGGGCCUACCAAGGCGAUGAUGCAUAGCCGAGUUGAGAGACUGAUCGGCCACAUUGGGACUGAGACACGGCCCAAACUCCUACGGGAGGCAGCAGUA
rnacentral:rRNA from 1 species